GCCGACGUGGUGGAAUUGGUAGACACGCAACCUUGAGGUGGUUGUGACUUAGGUCGUAAGAGUUCGAGUCUCUUCGCCGGCACCA
rnacentral:tRNA from 1 species